UACGGAGGGUGCGAGCGUUGUCCGGAAUCAUUGGGCGUAAAGGGCGCGUAGGUGGCCACUUCAAGCGUGCGGUGAAAGUCGGGGGCUCAACCCCUGAUCGGCCGUGCGAACUGGGGGGCUGGAGCACUGUAGAGGCAGGCGGAAUUCCGGGUGUAGCGGGUGGAAUGCGUAGAGAUCCGGAAGAACACCGGUGGCGAAGGCGGCCUGACUGG
rnacentral:rRNA from 1 species